UGCCAGCAGCCGCGGUAAUACGAAGGGUGCAAGCGUUGUUCGGAUUUAUUGGGCGUAAAGCGCGCGCAGGCGGAUGAAUUAGUCAGAUGUGAAAUCUCGGGGCCCAACCCCGAAACUGCGUCUGAAACUGUUUAUCUAGAAUCUUGGAGAGGGAAGAGGAAUUUCGCAUGUAGGGGUAAAAUCCGUAGAGAUGCGAAGGAACACCAGAGGCGAAGGCGUCUUCCUGGCCAAGUAUUGACGCUGAGGCGCGAAAGCGUGGGGAGCAAACAGGAUUAGAUA
rnacentral:rRNA from 1 species